rnacentral:tRNA from 1 species
UGCCCUGUAGUGUAACGGUAACACGACUGCCUCUGGAGCAGUUAUUCUUGGUUCGAAACCAAGCGGGGCAACCA